AACCUUGGCACAGAUUCUCCUACAGCCAUUCCAAGCAAUACAACAGCUGAUCGUAGAGCAACACGUUUCCAGCCAAAAGCUAUUGCAAAAAUAUCCUGGAAGAGAGCAGAAUAACCAAGGGCACUUGACAAACAAAGUUGAACAGCAGCAAAUAGAAUGGCAGCACUCAUCAAAAAAUUUCCUGGAACCAUUUGAAGAACAUUGGCUGCUGUAUUACCUCCAUACUUCCAGAUGGCCAAGCUAGUGGUAAUGUCAUGCUUUUACCUAAGAAAGAAAUUACAACUGCUUUAUUGAUGUCUUCCGGACGACGCAUAUCCACUUGUACUGUCAUCAAAGUUGGAUGUACAUCAAAUUGAAAUGCUAGCAUACCAUAUCUGAAGUAAUUUUAUAAAAAGAAAAGUACUUUACUAAAAAGCAAUCAAUAUUAUAGCUAAUUGGUUUAUACAGAUUACCCAGAAAUAAAUUUAUCCCAAGUGGGAGAAGUAGGUAGAGGCAUGAUAUUUAGUUCACGGUCGUCGGUAAUUAUACACCACCAUAUUAACAUUGCUGUCAGUAAUACCAUUGUGCAAGAAAAUAAAGCCAAUAUUCUGAAUUACUUCAUAUCGCGUGGACUACCUAGCCACAUAAUUGGGCACAAAAGAAGACCCACAAUUAGAAGCCAAUAACAAAAGGAUAGAUCAAAUCGUUGUCCUGAUAUUUUUAAUCCGAAUAACUGCAAAUUUUGAGAAGCUGAAAUUGAUCAACAGUGUUACAUAAACAUAUUUAAUUUAUAGUUCAUAUUUAUUUAUAUAAAUAUAAACAAAUUUUAAUUAUAAUGAGAACGUACCAACUAACAAAUUAGGAAUGCUGCAACCGAAAACUGUGAUAUCUAAAAUUAUAGUGACUAAAGUUUUUGCUCGAGGCCCUAACGUUAAUUCUGUCACGGCAGCCAAAGGAUGCCUACAAAGUGAAUUUAAUUAACAUUUGAUAAGUAAACUACAAAUGAAAGCUUACCGAUUUUUUCGUAAAAUUUGUGGAUCCAAAGAAGUUGCGAUUAUCCAUGAUUUUCCGAGAAGAACGGCCGUAUAAAUUUGCAAAGCUAAUACAAUAAGUACUAGUGGAAUUCCGUAUAAUCCUGCAAUCACAAGGCAGAAUUUUGUUUUUUUUUUCAGGAAUUAUAAUCGUCUAGAAAAUGUCCUCUGUAUAAACAUGAAUGCUUUCAGUACGCAAUAGCGGAAGCAAGGAUAGCUUGCGGUUCAGGUGGAUUAAAUAACAAAAUUUUUAACAAGUUAACCAACUUUAUUUUAUUCAAAAUGAUCAACUUUCCCACACGAUAUCGUGUGCUCAAAUAUUGUUUGCAGCGAUCGCUUUAAGUAAUAAAUGUAAUAAAUCAAUCAUAUAAAUCGUUUCAAUUUAAAUAAAAUAUAUUAUGGAAUAAACGAUAAAGUUACAUUGUACAUACAGUUAACUAUAUACAGUAUGUUUGAUUUGCAUGAAUAUAUGGAAUUAUCCCAUAAGUAAUAGAAUGUAUGAAUCAUUUAAAAAUCUGUUGAAUUUAAAGAAUACAUAUUAAUUUCAUAUAAUAAAUAAUUAUUUAUUCGCGUCAUGAGUUGUUUAAUAAUUCAUAGUUAAAUUUUCUUUUCACUCAUUAUUACAAUUUACAGGAUCAAAUAUGUCAAAGUAACACUUUAUCCAAAAAGGAAAAGUUUGAACUUCAAUUACUUAGAAAAUAGUUCCCUAUGUCCACUGUAAUUAGACACACUGCAUACGUAUAUAUACAUAUUCGUAUCCUAUUUUAUUUACACGUUGAAUGCCAUAGAAGUUAUCAAAGAUAUUAUAAAUUUAUCAUAAUUAAAAAAAAAUUGUAAUAUUGUAUGGACUUCAUAAAGUAUCAAAUAUAAAGUUGGACUUCGAAAUUAAAGUUAUUUUCAUCUGAAUUAUUAUAAUUUAUCCUGGCAUUGAACGUGUCAAAAUAAUCUAACUAAAUAUAAAGUGCUCGUCACAAAAUAAAGAACUUAAUAAAAACUAUACACGUAAUCUUUUCAA